GAUGAACGCUGGCGGCGUGCCUAAUACAUGCAAGUCGAGCGAACGGACGAGAAGCUUGCUUCUCUGAUGUUAGCGGCGGACGGGUGAGUAACACGUGGAUAACCUACCUAUAAGACUGGGAUAACUUCGGGAAACCGGAGCUAAUACCGGAUAAUAUUUUGAACCGCAUGGUUCAAUAGUGAAAUACGGUCUUGCUGUCACUUAUAGAUGGAUCCGCGCUGCAUUAGCUAGUUGGUAAGGUAACUGCUUACCAAGGCAACGAUGCAUAGCCGACCUGAGAGGGUGAUCGGCCACACUGGAACUGAGACACGGUCCAGACUCCUACGGGAGGCAGCAGUAGGGAAUCUUCCGCAAUGGGCGAAAGCCUGACGGAGCAACGCCGCGUGAGUGAUGAAGGUCUUCGGAUCGUAAAACUCUGUUAUUAGGGAAGAACAUAUGUGUAAGUAACUGUGCACAUCUUGACGGUACCUAAUCAGAAAGCCACGGCUAACUACGUG
rnacentral:rRNA from 1 species